rnacentral:tRNA from 1 species
UCAGCGGCUGGGUGAGCUGGUUGGCGCCGGUGAUGCCGAGGACGACGCCGGUGCGGGACGCGUCGUACCAGGGCUGCUCGGCGCCGGCGUCCUUGAGC